rnacentral:rRNA from 1 species
CUACGUGCCAGCAGCCGCGGUAAUACGGAAGGUCCGGGCGUUAUCCGGAUUUAUUGGGUUUAAAGGGAGCGUAGGCUGGAGAUUAAGUGUGUUGUGAAAUGUAGACGCUCAACGUCUGACUUGCAGCGCAUACUGGUUUCCUUGAGUACGCACAACGUUGGCGGAAUUCGUCGUGUAGCGGUGAAAUGCUUAGAUAUGACGAAGAACUCCGAUUGCGAAGGCAGCUGACGGGAGCGCAACUGACGCUGAAGCUCGAAGGUGCGGGUAUCGAACAGGAUUAGAUACCCUGGUAGUCCGCACAGUAAACGAUGGAUGCCCGCUGUUGGUACCUGGUAUCAGCGGCUAAGCGAAAGCAUUAAGCAUCCCACCUGGGGAGUACGCCGGCAACGGUGAAACUCAAAGGAAUUGACGGGGGCCCGCACAAGCGGAGGAACAUGUGGUUUAAUUCGAUGAUACGCGAGGAACCUUACCCGGGCUUGAAUUGCAGAGGAAGGAUUUAGAGAUAAUGACG